UACGAAGUGGGCUAGCGUUGCUCGGAAUUACUGGGCGUAAAGCGCACGUAGGCGGCUUUCUAAGUCGGGGGUGAAAUCCUGGAGCUCAACUCCAGAACUGCCUUCGAUACUGGAGAGCUCGAGUCCGGGAGAGGUGAGUGGAACUGCGAGUGUAGAGGUGAAAUUCGUAGAUAUUCGGAGGAACACCAGUGGCGAAGGCGGCUUACUGGUCCAUUACUGACGCUGAGGUGCGAAAGCGUGGGGAGCAAACAGG
rnacentral:rRNA from 1 species